rnacentral:rRNA from 1 species
AUUGAACGCUGGCGGCAGGCCUAACACAUGCAAGUCGAGCGGAGCGGCGGACGGGUGAGUAAUACCUAGGAAUCUGCCUGAUAGUGGGGGAUAACGUUCGGAAACGGACGCUAAUACCGCAUACUAUCAGAUGAGCCUAGGUCGGAUUAGCUAGUUGGUGAGGUAAUGGCUCACCAAGGCUACGAUCCGUAACUGGUCUGAGAGGAUGAUCAGUCACACUGGAACUGGGACACGGUCCAGACUCCUACGGGAGGCAGCAGUGGGGAAUAUUGCACAAUGGGGGAAACCCUGAUGCAGCAACGCCGCGUGCGGGAUGACGGCCUUCGGGUUGUAAACCGCUUUCAGCCAUGACGCGGUAGUGGCAGAAGAAGCACCGGCUAACUACGUGCCAGCAGCCGCGGUAAUAC